ACAUGUUUACAACAUAGUGUUAAUGCAUCGGAUCCCAUUAUAACUUCGCAUUUAAGAGCGCUAGGGAUAGAGUAGUACUGGGAUGGGUGACUGCCUGGGAAGUCCUAGUAUUUUACAUGCC
rnacentral:rRNA from 1 species